rnacentral:tRNA from 1 species
GCGGCGGGGGUAAAGCGCGUCCUUGGUAAGGACGAGACCCCGAGUUCAAAUCUCGGCCUAGGCUCUUCCUGCGACCUCGCCGCU